AUAAAAAGUCAUAUUCCGGGGGCACCUGGGUGGCUCAGUGGGUUAAAGCCUCUGCCUUCGGCUCAGGUCAUGAUCCCAGGGUCCUGGGAUCGAGCCCCACAUCGGGCUCUCUGCUCAGCAGGGAGCCUGCUUCCUCCUCUCUCUCUCUCUGCCUGCCUCUCUGCCUACUUGUGAUCUCUAUCUGUCAAAUAAAAUAAAUAAAAUCUUUAAAAAAAAAAAUAAA